GCCCACUGGCGGGGUGCUACCAUGCAGUCGACGAUGAUGCCCAGCUUGCUGGGUGGAUUAGUGGCGAACGGGUGAGUAACACGUGAGUAACCUGCCCUUGACUCUGGGAUAAGCCUGGGAAACUGGGUCUAAUACCGGAUACGACCAUUGCCCGCAUGGGUUGGUGGUGGAAAGCUUUUGUGGUUUUGGAUGGACUCGCGGCCUAUCAGCUUGUUGGUGAGGUAAUGGCUCACCAAGGCGACGACGGGUAGCCGGCCUGAGAGGGUGACCGGCCACACUGGGACUGAGACACGGCCCAGACUCCUACGGGAGGCAGCAGUGGGGAAUAUUGCACAAUGGGCGAAAGCCUGAUGCAGCGACGCCGCGUGAGGGAUGACGGCCUUCGGGUUGUAAACCUCUUUCAGUAGGGAAGAAGCGAAAGUGACGGUACCUGCAGAAGAAGCGCCGGCUAACUACGUGCCAGCAGCCGCGGUAAUACGUAGGGCGCAAGCGUUAUCCGGAAUUAUUGGGCGUAAAGAGCUCGUAGGCGGUUUGUCGCGUCUGCUGUGAAAGGCCAGGGCUCAACCCUGGUUCUGCAGUGGGUACGGGCAGACUUGAGUGAUGUAGGGGAGACUGGAAUUCCUGGUGUAGCGGUGAAAUGCGCAGAUAUCAGGAGGAACACCGAUGGCGAAGGCAGGUCUCUGGGCAUUAACUGACGCUGAGGAGCGAAAGCAUGGGGAGCGAACAGGAUUAGAUACCCUGGUAGUCCAUGCCGUAAACGUUGGGCACUAGGUGUGGGGGACAUUCCACGUUUUCCGCGCCGUAGCUAACGCAUUAAGUGCCCCGCCUGGGGAGUACGGGCCGCAAGGCUAAAACUCAAAGGAAUUGACGGGGGCCCGCACAAGCGGGCGGAGCAUGCGGGAUUAAUUUCGAUGCAACGCGAAGAACCUUACCAAGGCUUGACAUGGACUGGAUCGCAUCAGAGAUGGUGUUUCCCUUCGGGGCUGGUUCACAGGUGGUGCAUGGGUUGUCGUCAGCUCGUGUCGUGAGAUGUGGGUUAAGUCCCGCACGAGCGCAACCCUCGUUCCAUGUUGCAGCGCGUUAUGCGGGGACUCAUGGGAGAACUGCCGGGGGUCAACCUCGAGAAAGUGGGGGAUCGC
rnacentral:rRNA from 1 species